rnacentral:tRNA from 1 species
AGCCGGGUAGUAUUUAAAAUACACGAGAUUGCAAACCUCGAGAAGGAGAUAAGCUUCUCCCCCGGCUU